CAUUUCUCCCUGCUCUCUCUAGACAGAUGACGCCACAGGUUGGCAUUGGCAGCAAGGUAGAUGGAUAGAGACAAGGACAGCCAGCCCCCCUCCCCUCUACUCUCCUACUGUGUGGAUCAAAAGAUAGAUAAAUAAAACAAAGCAGAUUGACAAGUAAAUGAAUUUUUCAGGAAAAUUCCAAAGCCCAAAUAAAAACUAAGACCGGAGCUUUCCAUCAUCACCUUGCGCAAGGCCAGCGAGCAGCCGCCGUGUUUUUUAUAGCCCGGCUGACCAAUCGCCGGAGGAGGAACUCACCACCAGGUCACCUAUAUCAUUUCCUCCCUCCCUCCCUCUUGUACGCUUGCUUCUUUUUUUAUCUUCUUCCUCUCCCUCUCGCUGGUUUCUUGAUUAUUUAAUUGUUUAGGUGUUCGCCCAUUUGGGUGUGUGUGAUGGAUGGAUAGAUAGAUUCCAAGUUUCCAACCCCAGCUAGCUGCUACUUGUUUGCUCCAAGCAGAAGCCAAGAACAGCUCCCUCCCAAGGAAGGAUCUUUUUCUUUUCCUGGAUUUGGCCCGGUUCUGUUCGGGAAAUCUUGGGCUGCCGGCGGCUGGAUCUCCGGGAGGAGGAUUUGAUGCCGGUUCUUGCUCCAUUUUGAGCCCGAAUCAUCCUGCCUCGGGACAGGCGACAGGCGAGCGGCCUUUCGAGCUCCCAGGAGCCGCGGAGGGUGAGCGAGGCGGCCUCCGAGCGCUCGGGAAGGCGGCGAUGCCGCUGGUUUGAUUCUGGUUCACGCUGCUGCUGGGGAUGGAAUCCAGCGGGGAGGAGCUCCUGAAGAAGAUCCGGCAGCUGGAGGUGGGCCAGGCGCAGCUCAAGCAGGAGAUGUCCAAGUUCGCGCUGCCACCGACCGGCGGCGGAGGGGAGCGCCGGCGCUCGCAGUCCGUCUCGCCCAGCCGCGGCGCGCCGCCUCAUCCUGCGCCGGCGCCGGCGCCCUCGAGGCGGCUCUCCGGGGGACUUGAUGGAGGCCCGCGGGGGUGGGGCCGUGGCUCCGCGUCCUUCUCGCACUCGUCGCCGCUGCAGCGGGAAGGCCGUGCCGCGGCCGAAGGCGGCGCCACGGGCGCUGGGCUGGCGGAGCGGCAGUACCGCAGGGUGCUCCAGUCGCUGGGGCAGUCCGUCCACAUUCUUGACCUCGAUGGAAGGAUCAUAUACUGGAAUCGGUCUGCAGAGAAUCUCUAUGGUUAUCCUGCAUCAGAAGUACUUGGUCAGGAUGCACUCAUGCUGCUGGUUGAUUCCCGUGACCUCAGUGUGGUAAAUGAUAUGUUUCGACGCAUUUCUUUGGGUGAGAGUUGGACUGGGAAGUUUCCAGUUAAGAACAAGGCAGGGGAUAGGUUUUUAGCUGUUGGCACCAACACUCCAUUUUAUGAUGAGGAUGGCAGUUUGGUGGGCAUUAUUUGUGUUUCAAGUGAUUCACGCGCAUUGGAGGAGAUACUCAGUGGACCUUCAACCUCUGCCAGGUCCCAUUCAGAAUCAUCUAGCCCCUCCUGUUGUGAUGGCAGUUGCAGCAACAGUAAUCGAAAAACCAGUUUGUUGAACAGAAAUCCGUUUGAUCCCCAGCAGUCUACUAUAGCCUCCAAGAUAACAAAUUUGGCUAACAAGGUUACAAAUAAAGUUCGUUCGAGGGUCAAGAUGGAUGAGAAUGGCAUGCUACGGGAAGGUGGCAGUGGUGAGAGUCAGUGCUCUGAUCGUGAUAACAAGGAAGGUCCAUCUAGUGGACCAAGUACACCAAGAGGAGAUGCACCACAUGGCGCCUUCGGCACCGAAGAGAAUUCCCCUGGAAAAUCAACCAAAACAAAUGGUGAUGAAUCAGAAGCGAAAAUAGGUCUCCACAAGAUCUUGAGCUCAAAAGCAGAGGCAUUGUUGAACAAGAAAGGGAUAACAUGGCCUUGGAAAGGGCGGGAGAAUGACGGGCCUGAUUGCAGAAAUCAAGUGACCUGGCCAUCAUUGCAUGGUGAGCAAGAGAAUGGCCAGAAUCAUCCGAAAAUCUCUGACACUCAAGUGGCCGAAUUCAACCAACCUAAUAAAAAUGAGGCAUCAGGUUCCUGGUCUUCUUUCAACAAUAACAGCUCAAGUAGUGCAAGCAGCACUGGAAGCACCAAUAGUAGUGCUCUAUACAAAAUAGACCAUGAAGCAGACUGUCUGGAUUAUGAAAUCCUGUGGGAAGAUCUUGUAAUUGGAGAACAAGUAGGCCAAGGCUCCUGUGGGACAGUAUAUCAUGCCUUGUGGUAUGGCUCGGAUGUGGGUGUGAAAGUUUUCUCCAGGCAGGAAUAUUCCGAGGAAGUGAUACAGGCCUUUCGACAAGAGGUAUCCCUUAUGAAGAAAUUACGUCAUCCUAAUAUACUGCUCUUCAUGGGUGCGGUUACAUCUCCACACCGCCUCUGUAUUGUUACCGAGUUCCUCCCACGUGGAAGUUUAUUUCGCUUACUUCAAAGAAGCACUACCAAGUUGGAUUGGAGACGACGUGUUCACAUGGCUUUAGAUGUUGCAAGGGGCAUGAAUUAUCUUCAUCACUAUAGCCCACCUAUCAUUCAUCGAGAUUUAAAAUCGUCAAAUCUACUGGUUGAUAAGAACUGGACUGUUAAGGUUGCAGAUUUUGGUCUUUCACGUCUCAAGCGUGAAACUUAUCUGACAACAAAAACAGGAAAAGGAACGCCACAAUGGAUGGCUCCGGAGGUAUUGCGCAAUGAACCUUCAGAUGAAAAGUCUGAUGUAUAUAGCUAUGGGGUGAUCCUAUGGGAGCUUGUCACUCAGAAGAUACCCUGGGAAAAUCUCAAUUCAAUGCAGGUCAUUGGUGCAGUAGGUUUCAUGAACCAAAGGUUGGAGAUUCCCAGUGAAACAGAUCCUUACUGGACAUCACUUAUACUCAGUUGUUGGGAAACUGACCCACAAAGCCGUCCGUCGUUCCAAGAACUUCUGGAGAAGCUCAGGGAACUACAAAGGAAGUACGCUGUCCAGAAUCAGGUGCAGCGAAAUGCAUCUGCCGCUGCGAAGAAUAGCAUCAUCGAGGAAUGAAGAUUCCAACCUCUUGCUAAGGCGGUGGGUGUGUGAGUGAGGAGGGAAUAUUGUCGGUCGGCGAUGGAGCGACGUUUUAACCCAAGAAAAGAUUCGUGCCUCCUGUGUGAUUGUUUCAUGGAACAGCCGAGGCUGAAGAUUGUGCAGAUGAGGCGUCCUCUGAAUUCGUGUGAGGAUAUGCCUGAACUUCCUCCGACUGCAAUUUCUGGCAUCAAAGAUUAGAGUAGGGAGCCGAGGCUGGCGCUUUUGGGGUUCUACAUUCCGUGGUGAUGCGCGACUAACACGCGAUCGGAUUGAUCGGGCUUGCAUUUGUAACACGGAGAGGACGGUGUUGCUUUGUAGAUUGUUCAUUGUUCUGAUGACAAAUUGUACACGAGCUGCCAAUCAUCAAGAACCUUGUAAGAUUCAUGCUUGUUUUUUUUUUCCUUGCCUUUUUCUGCUCUUCAUUUUUUUUGGGCGGGAAUUCCGAAUCCCAGCACAAAUCAACCGAAGCUGCUACUGUACUUCUACUUUUAUUUCUUUUAUUAGUAAGAAAAAACAAAACUUAGCUAUUUUGUCUGCUCUCCGAUCUACUCCCUCUGUAAAGAAAUAUAAGAUCAUUUAGAUGAGAGGGAGUAGUUGAGUAGUGCCU
rnacentral:rRNA from 1 species